GCUUAACACAUGCAAGUCGAGCGAGAAAGUCUCCUUCGGGAGAUGAGUAGAGCGGCGCACGGGUGAGUAACGCGUGGAUAAUCUGCCCUGAAGAUCGGGAUAACAGUUGGAAACGGCUGCUAAUACCGGAUACGCUGCAAGUUUAUCUUGUGGGAAAGAUGGCCUCUACAUGUAAGCUAUCACUUCAGGAUGAGUCCGCGUCCCAUUAGCUUGUUGGUGGGGUAACGGCCUACCAAGGCNACGAUGGGUAGCUGGUCUGAGAGGAUGAUCAGCCACACUGGGACUGAAACACGGUCCAGACUCCUACGG
rnacentral:rRNA from 1 species